rnacentral:tRNA from 2 species
AGGCGUAUAGCUCAGUGGUAGAGCGACGGUUUUACAAGCCGCUGGUCAACGGUUCAAAUCCGUUUAUGCCUA